GAGUUUGAUCGUGGCUCAGGACGAACGCUGGCGGCGCGCUUAACACAUGCAAGUCGAACGGGGCCCUUCGGGGCUCAGUGGCGAACGGGUGCGUAACACGUGAGCAACCUGCCCAUGCAUGGGGGAUAACCAAGGGAAACCUUGGCUAAUACCGCAUACGUUCCCUGGCUCGAGUGAGCUGGGGAGGAAAGCUGCUGCGAGGCAGCGUGCGUGGAGGGGCUCGCGGCGUAUCAGGUAGCUGGUGAGGUAACGGCUCACCAGGCCGACGACGCGUAGCCGAUCUGAGAGGAUGAUCGGCCACAUUGGGACUGAGAUACGGCCCAGACUCCUACGGGAGGCAGCAGUGGGGAAUCUUGCGCAAUGGGCGAAAGCCUGACGCAGCGACGCCGCGUGCGGGAGGAAGCUCUUCGGGGUGUAACCGCUGUCAGGGGGGAAGAACGGACCGUGGAGGAAAUGACACGGUUUUGACGGUACCCCCAGAGGAAGCACCGGCUAACUCUGUGCCAGC
rnacentral:rRNA from 1 species